rfam:Bos taurus Ctg13.CH240-525J10, whole genome shotgun sequence.
AAAGGAUAACAAGGGGCCAGAGCAGAAGCAUUCACGUCGCGGCCCCUGUCAGAUUCUGGUGAAUCUGCGAAUUCUGCU